rnacentral:rRNA from 1 species
CUACGGGUGGCUGCAGUGGGGAAUAUUGCACAAUGGGCGCAAGCCUGAUGCAGCCAUGCCGCGUGUAUGAAGAAGGCCUUCGGGUUGUAAAGUACUUUCAGCGGGGAGGAAGGGAGUAAAGUUAAUACCUUUUCUCAUUGACGUUACCCGCAGAAGAAGCACCGGCUAACUCCGUGCCAGCAGCCGCGGUAAUACGGAGGGUGCAAGCGUUAAUCGGAAUUACUGGGCGUAAAGCGCACGCAGGCGGUUUGUUAAGUCAGAUGUGAAAUCCCCGGGCUCAACCUGGGAACUGCAUCUGAUAAUGGCAAGCUUGAGUGUCGUAGAGGGGGGUAGAAUUCCAGGUGUAGCGGUGAAAUGCGUAGAGAUCUGGAGGAAUACCGGUGGCGAAGGCGGCCCCCUGGACGAAGACUGACGCUCAGGUGCGAAAGCGUGGGGAGCAAACAGGAUUAGAUACCCGCGUAGUC